GGGGGGUACGUUGCUCGGAAUAUUGAGGCGUAAGGGCUCGCAGGCGGUUUCUUAAGUCUGAUGUGAAAGCCCCCGGCUCAACCGGGGAGGGUCAUUGGAAACUGGGGAACUUGAGUGCAGAAGAGGAGAGUGGAAUUCCACGUGUAGCGGUGAAAUGCUAUAGAGAUGUGGAGGAACACCAGUGGCGAAGGCGACUCUCUGGUCUGUAACUGACGCUGAGGAGCGAAAGCGUGGGGAGCGAACAGGAUUAGAUACCCUGGUAGUCCACGCCGUAAACGAUGAGUGCUAAGUGUUAGGGGGUUUCCGCCCCUUAGUGCUGCAGCUAACGCAUUAAGCACUCCGCCUGGGGAGUACGGUCGCAAGACUGAAACUCAAAGGAAUUGACGGGGGCCCGCACAAGCGGUGGAGCAUGUGGUUUAAUUCGAAGCAACGCGAAGAACCUUACCAGGUCUUGACAUCCUCUGACAAUCCUAGAGAUAGGACGUCCCCUUCGGGGGCAGAGUGACAGGUGGUGCAUGGUUGUCGUCAGCUCGUGUCGUGAGAUGUUGGGUUAAGUCCCGCAACGAGCGCAACCCUUGAUCUUAGUUGCCAGCAUUCAGUUGGGCACUCUAAGGUGACUGCCGGUGACAAACCGGAGGAAGGUGGGGAUGACGUCAAAUCAUCAUGCCCCUUAUGACCUGGGCUACACACGUGCUACAAUGGACAGAACAAAGGGCAGCGAAACCGCGAGGUUAAGCCAAUCCCACAAA
rnacentral:rRNA from 1 species